UUAAAAAAAAUAUUCCAUUAUAGUUACAAAUGACUUCACAAUAUGAAAGAAAUGUAAUCUGAUUAUUUUAUGAUUACUUCAAGGCCGCAUAUGUAAAUAAAGUCAAGAGAAAAGCAAUAUGAUCUAAAAUACUUUUAUCUAGAGCUUAUUUUAGAACUUAAACAUGUUUGGAAUUGUUUUAAUAAAAUAAAUAAAUAAAAGAUCACUGUCCCUGAUGCGGGUAACUAAGCUAUGGUGACCAUCUUCUGGUUUUCCAAAAACACCUUUAUUGUUUUUUGCCCUCCUUUUAAAUUUUUUUGAAUGUCCAAGGAAUAAGAUAAAAUAUUAGAUGCUACGAGUGUACCUUCUGCCAUUAUUUACACAUUUAAAUGGCCAUGUAGAAUGAAGCACUGUGAUACCAUGAAAUUUAAAAUGUCCUUCUAUGGCCGUGGCCAUUAUUUCGACUCAGGACAGCUGUCAUUUGCUGCUAUUGACAAGCAACUGUUUGUACUCAGCAACACUUCACCUUUGAGAGUGGUUAAGAGUAGGUUAAUGCUAGAGAGCCAGGAAUUUGGCCAGCAGUUGCUGCAAACCUUUUAUAAUCGACCAAUUGGUGUGCAAGAAGCCAGGAAUUACAGACAGGGAUUAAAGCAAUGCAAAUAUGCGCAUGCAUGAUGCAGUAUUAGACCAUAAGCACAUCAUAAUGAAACUAAACCCAAAUCCUGGAAAAAAAAUUCAAAUUUAGAAGCUUUUUUUAAGUCCAAAAAGGAGCACAUAUCCAUGAAAAAGAGGAUGUAUGGUCACCCUAACAAAACACUCCCCAAGCCUGUGUAUAUUGGCCAGAGUUAGUUAGCAGCAAAGCUUUAGUCCGGAUUGUGGUAGCAGGGUCAUGGUCAAGGGCAGGAGGAGGAGUCGCAGAGAACUGUCAGGUAAUGAGUGAAGGUUUACAGCUGUGUGUGGUUAAGAAUGAAGUGUAUUGUGUUGCAAUGAGUGCUUGUUGACCCCAAGGGCGAGAGUCCAUGCAGGCUGAGCUGUACUUGAUUGCGAACACACAACGACAGUGGAAUUGUGUAUGAUUGAACAGAUACAAAUAGAGAUAUGAAUAGGAAUUUAGUGUAGCCAACAGACCUAUAAACACCAACAAGUGCAAGGAAAGCAGAGUACCCAGAGAAAACAUAUGGCUAGAAUAUUGGACACUACACAAAGACAGUAUCAGGGUCAGUAUUAGGUCAUGGAGUCUGGAGCUGUGAGUGUACACAUGGGCUCGUUCCUAAAAAAGUUUGCCGGAUCCCUGACGCAGCACCCACUACAGCAUCAGCACCAGCAGUUGGUGGAAAAAGAGCAUCACUUGCUAACAUUUUUAUUCUUUGUCUAUCCAGUCAAUGUUAAGGUGAACCAUUCCCAAUCACAACAUUUGCUAUAGCUUCAGUACUUCUGUUCUUCACUUUGUAAGAUCAGAUGUAAAGAACAAACUCAGCACAAGCUAACUGAUACAUUGCGAUUGGUCUGAGGUUGAAAAUCAGUAUGACUUGUAAGAAAAUAUUAGUUCUACCAGUAAAACUAGUAAAAAUGUCUGCUGUUUUUUCCCCAUGCUUUGCAUUGACACUGAAAAAAAAAAAUAUUAAGCCACAGUGUUGUGGGCAUUUCAUCAUAUUUAUGUUAGUGUCAUAACUUUGCAUUUGUUAAAUAAUAUUGUUAAAUAAAAAUGAUUUUAUGAA